AGGGUGACCGGCCACACUGGGACUGAGACACGGCCCAGACUCCUACGGGAGGCAGCAGUGGGGAAUAUUGCACAAUGGGCGCAAGCCUGAUGCAGCGACGCCGCGUGGGGGAUGACGGCCUUCGGGUUGUAAACUCCUUUCGCUAGGGACGAAGCGUAUUUGUGACGGUACCUGGAGAAGAAGCACCGGCUAACUACGUGCCAGCAGCCGCGGUAAUACGUAGGGUGCGAGCGUUGUCCGGAAUUAUUGGGCGUAAAGAGCUCGUAGGCGGUUUGUCGCGUCUGCUGUGAAAACUGGAGGCUCAACCUCCAGCCUGCAGUGGGUACGGGCAGACUAGAGUGCGGUAGGGGAGAUUGGAAUUCCUGGUGUAGCGGUGG
rnacentral:rRNA from 1 species